rnacentral:rRNA from 1 species
AUUGAACGCUGGCGGCAUGCCUUACACAUGCAAGUCGAACGGUAACAGGUCUUCGGAUGCUGACGAGUGGCGAACGGGUGAGUAAUACAUCGGAACGUGCCCGAUCGUGGGGGAUAACGAGGCGAAAGCUUUGCUAAUACCGCAUACGAUCUACGGAUGAAAGCGGGGGAUCUUCGGACCUCGCGCGGACGGAGCGGCCGAUGGCAGAUUAGGUAGUUGGUGGAAUAAAAGCUUACCAAGCCGACGAUCUGUAGCUGGUCUGAGAGGAUGAUCAGCCACACUGGGACUGAGACACGGCCCAGACUCCUACGGGAGGCAGCAGUGGGGAAUUUUGGACAAUGGGCGAAAGCCUGAUCCAGCCAUGCCGCGUGCAGGAUGAAGGCCUUCGGGUUGUAAACUGCUUUUGUACGGAACGAAAAGCCUCUUUCUAAUAAAGAGAGGUCAUGACGGUACCGUAAGAAUAAGCACCGGCUAACUACGUG